rnacentral:rRNA from 1 species
UCUCGGUAACGAUGGGAUCGUUCCAUUAGAUAGUAGGNGGGGUAACGGCCCACCUAGUCAGCGAUGGAUAGGGGUUCUGAGAGGAAGGUCCCNNNNAUUGGAACUGAGACACGGUCNAAACUCCNACGGGAGGCAGCAGUGAGGAAUAUUGGUCAAUGGACGGAAGUCUGAACCAGCCAAGUAGCGUGAAGGAUGAAGGUUCUAUGGAUUGUAAACUUCUUUUAUCUGGGAAUAAAGCCNNNNNCGCGUGGGNGUUUGUAUGUACCUUAUGAAUAAG